UACAGAGGUCCCAAGCGUUGUUCGGAUUCACUGGGCGUAAAGGGCGCGUAGGCGGUCGGGUAAGUCUGACGUGAAAUCUUCAAGCUUAACUUGGAAACUGCGUCGGAUACUAUUCGGCUAGAGGAAUGGAGGGGAGACUGGAAUACUUGGUGUAGCAGUGAAAUGCGUAGAUAUCAAGUGGAACACCAGUGGCGAAGGCGGCUGCCUGGCCCAAUACUGACACUCAGGUGCGACAGCGUGGGGAGCAAACAGG
rnacentral:rRNA from 1 species